UGGGGAAUAUUGGACAAUGGGGGAAACCCUGAUCCAGCAAUGCCGCGUGGGUGAUGAAGGCCUUCGGGUUGUAAAGCCCUUUUGGCGGGGACGAUGAUGACGGUACCCGCAGAAGAAGCCCCGGCUAACUUCGUGCCAGCAGCCGCGGUAAUACGAAGGGGGCUAGCGUUGUUCGGAAUUACUGGGCGUAAAGGGCGCGUAGGCGGCUUCGAUAGUCGGGCGUGAAAUGCCUGGGCUCAACCCAGGAACUGCGCUCGAAACUCCGAGGCUAGAGUGUGGGAGAGGAUAGUGGAAUUCCCAGUGUAGAGGUGAAAUUCGUAGAUAUUGGGAAGAACACCGGUGGCGAAGGCGGCUAUCUGGACCACAACUGACGCUGAGGCGCGAAAGCGUGGGGAGCAAACAG
rnacentral:rRNA from 1 species